UACGUAGGGUGCGAGCGUUGUCCGGAAUUACUGGGCGUAAAGAGCUCGUAGGUGGUUUGUCGCGUUGUUCGUGAAAACCGGGGGCUUAACCCUCGGCGUGCGGGCGAUACGGGCAGACUGGAGUACUGCAGGGGAGACUGGAAUUCCUGGUGUAGCGGUGGAAUGCGCAGAUAUCAGGAGGAACACCGAUGGCGAAGGCAGGUCUCUGGGCUGUAACUGACGCUGAGGAGCGAAAGCAUGGGGAGCGAACAGG
rnacentral:rRNA from 1 species